rnacentral:lncRNA from 1 species
UCUUCCUUCUCUUCCUUUUGACCCCCGACGCCUCCUCAGGACGAGACUCUGGAGCGGGAACCUCGAUCGGAGGGCUUCUUGAAGAAGCUCGGGGGACUGUGGGCUCGACGUCGGAGGGGGCGUCAUUGACAACGAUCGCCUGGGCAAGCACGGUCGAGCUUGUCUCCUCUAUCCUCACCUUCUUCGCCGAUCCAAAAGUUGCGAUGCCUUUCCUCUUGUGGGCCUUGAGAUCCUUGGCUAGUAUCUGAGCUGC